CAACAUUUUCGAGUCUCCAAAUUUCCCCAAAGAUUCGUCCAUUUCAGGGCCGUUUUCUUGUCAAAAACAACAUAUUUGUGAUCCAGAGGAGUCUACCAGACUGAAAACAUACUAGAUAUGUACUCGGAGUGAUCGCGUGCAUCAUGGGGAUUGCUGUUGAAUACCAAGGCCUUCAUUGUGGAUUUCUUUUCAAGCACUUGAAAGAUCAUCCUCACAAACUUGUGUCCUCCCUCAUUCGUGUUACUGGACCUUAUUAUUUUAUGCUUGAUUGAUGGGUUUGAUGAGAUAGCAAUCCUGAUGACGUCAUUGCGCGUGAAUUGAACAAAUCGCCGGCAGUUCAGUACCAUCGAAGAUAAAGCUAGCUCACUUAUCAAUUUUUGGUACCAGGAAAUCAAGCUGAACAGUGUGGGAAAUGCUGCCCUCAACAUCACUGUCACGUACAUGUUGUACA